GAUGAUGGGAGCUUGCUCCUGGAUUAGUGGCGAACGGGUGAGUAACACGUGAGUAACCUGCCCUUAACUCUGGGAUAAGCCUGGGAAACUGGGUCUAAUACCGGAUAUGACUCCUCAUCGCAUGGUGGGGGGUGGAAAGCUUUAUUGUGGUUUUGGAUGGACUCGCGGCCUAUCAGCUUGUUGGUGAGGUAAUGGCUUACCAAGGCGACGACGGGUAGCCGGCCUGAGAGGGUGACCGGCCACACUGGGACUAGACACGGCCCAGACUCCUACGGGAGGCAGCAGUGGGGAAUAUUGCACAAUGGGCGCAAGCCUGAUGCAGCGACGCCGCGUGAGGGAUGACGGCCUUCGGGUUGUAAACCUCUUUCAGUAGGGAAGAAGCGAAAGUGACGGUACCUGCAGAAGAAGCGCCGGCUAACUACGUGCCAGCAGCCGCGGUAAUACGUAGGGCGCAAGCGUUAUCCGGAAUUAUUGGGCGUAAAGAGCUCGUAGGCGGUUUGUCGCGUCUGCCGUGAAAGUCCGGGGCUCAACUCCGGAUCUGCGGUGGGUACGGGCAGACUAGAGUGAUGUAGGGGAGACUGGAAUUCCUGGUGUAGCGGUGAAAUGCGCAGAAUCAGGAGGAACACCGAUGGCGAAGGCAGGUCUCUGGGGCAUUAACUGACGCUGAGGAGCGAAAGCAUGGGGAGCGAACAGGAUUAGAUACCCUGGUAGUCCAUGCCGUAAACGUUGGGCACUAGGUGUGGGGGACAUUCCACGUUUUUCCGCGCCGUAGCUAACGCAUUAAGUGCCCCGCCUGGGGAGUACGGCCGCAAGGCUAAAACUCAAAGGAAUUGACGGGGGCCCGCACAAGCGGCGGAGCAUGCGGAUUAAUUCGAUGCAACGCGAAGAACCUUACCAAGGCUUGACAUGAACCGGUAAUACCUGGAGACAGGUGCCCCGCUUGCGGUCGGUUUACAGGUGGUGCAUGGUUGUCGUCAGCUCGUGUCGUGAGAUGUUGGGUUAAGUCCCGCAACGAGCGCAACCCUCGUUCUAUGUUGCCAGCACGUGAUGGUGGGGACUCAUAGGAGACUGCCGGGGUCAACUCGGAGGAAGGUGGGGACGACGUCAAAUCAUCAUGCCCCUUAUGUCUUGGGCUUCACGCAUGCUACAAUGGCCGGUACAAAGGGUUGCGAUACUGUGAGGUGGAGCUAAUCCCAAAAAGCCGGUCUCAGUUCGGAUUGGGGUCUGCAACUCGACCCCAUGAAGUCGGAGUCGCUAGUAAUCGCAGAUCAGCACGCUGCGGUGAAUACGUUCCCGGGCCUUGUACACACCGCCCGUCAAGUCACGAAAGUU
rnacentral:rRNA from 1 species